GGGGAGCGAAAUUAUAGUAGCGAAGUCGUUGAUGUCACGCUGCCGAGAAAAGCUUCUAGCGAAUAAUCAACUGCCCGUACCGCAAACCGACACAGGUAGUCGAGGAGAGUAUCCUAAGGUGAGCGAGCGAACUCUCGUUAAGGAACUCGGCAAAAUGACCCCGUAACUUCGGGAGAAGGGGUGCUGAUCGCAAGAUCAGCCGCAGUGAAAAGGCCCAGGCGACUGUUUAUCAAAAACACAGGUUUCUGCAAAAUCGUAAGAUGAAGUAUAGGGGCUGACGCCUGCCCGGUGCUGGAAGGUUAAAAGGAAGAGUUAGCUUCGGCGAAGCCCUGAAUUGAAGCCCCAGUAAACGGCGGCCGUAACUAUAACGGUCCUAAGGUAGCGAAAUUCCUUGUCGGGUAAGUUCCGACCCGCACGAAAGGCGUAACGAUCUGGGCACUGUCUCAACGAGAGACUCGGUGAAAUUGAAUUGCCUGUGAAGAUGCAGGCUACCCGCGACAGGACGGAAAGACCCCAUGGAGCUUUACUGUAGCUUGAUAUUGAGUGCUUGUACUGCUUGUACAGGAUAGGUAGGAGCCAUAGAAGCCAGGACGCUAGUUUUGGCAGAGGCGUUGGUGGGAUACUACCCUUGCAUUAUGAUCACUCUAACCCGCACCACUGAUCGUGGUGGGAGACAGUGUCAGGUGGGCAGUUUGACUGGGGCGGUCGCCUCCCAAAAGAUAACGGAGGCGCCCAAAGGUUCGCUCAGAAUGGUUGGAAAUCAUUCGCAGAGUGUAAAGGCACAAGCGAGCUUGACUGCGAGACAGACAGGUCGAGCAGGGACGAAAGUCGGGCUUAGUGAUCCGGUGGUUCCGCAUGGAAGGGCCAUCGCUCAACGGAUAAAAGCUACCCUGGGGAUAACAGGCUUAUCUCCCCCAAGAGUCCACAUCGACGGGGAGGUUUGGCACCUCGAUGUCGGCUCAUCGCAUCCUGGGGCUGUAGUCGGUCCCAAGGGUUGGGCUGUUCGCCCAUUAAAGCGGUACGCGAGCUGGGUUCAGAACGUCGUGAGACAGUUCGGUCCCUAUCCGUCGCGGGCGUAGGAAAUUUGAGAGGACCUGUCCUUAGUACGAGAGGACCGGGAUGGACAUACCGCUGGUGUACCAGUUGUUCCGCCAGGAGCAUCGCUGGGUAGCUAUGUAUGGAUGAGAUAAACGCUGAAAGCAUCUAAGCGUGAAACUCGCCUCAAGAUGAGAUUUCCCAUUCCUUAUGGAAGUAAGACCCCUCAGAGAUGAUGAGGUAGAUAGGAUGGAAGUGGAAGUGCCGCGAGGCAUGGAGCGGACCAUUACUAAUCGGUCGAGGACUUAACCAAGUU
rnacentral:rRNA from 1 species